UUCGGGAUAAGCCCGGGAAACUGGGUCUAAUACCGGAUAGGACUGCGCGGUGCAUGCCGUGUGGUGGAAAGAUUUAUCGGUGCAGGAUGGGCCCGCGGCCUAUCAGCUUGUUGGUGGGGUAAUGGCCUACCAAGGCGACGACGGGUAGCCGGCCUGAGAGGGCGACCGGCCACACUGGGACUGAGACACGGCCCAGACUCCUACGGGAGGCAGCAGUGGGGAAUAUUGCACAAUGGGCGCAAGCCUGAUGCAGCGACGCCGCGUGAGGGAUGACGGCCUUCGGGUUGUAAACCUCUUUCAGCAGGGACGAAGCGCAAGUGACGGUACCUGCAGAAGAAGCACCGGCCAACUACGUGCCAGCAGCCGCGGUAAUACGUAGGGUGCAAGCGUUGUCCGGAAUUACUGGGCGUAAAGAGCUCGUAGGCGGUUUGUCGCGUCGUCUGUGAAAACCAGCAGCUCAACUGUUGGCUGCAGGCGAUACGGGCAGACUUGAGUAUUUCAGGGGAGACUGGAAUUCCUGGUGUAGCGGUGAAAUGCGCAGAUAUCAGGAGGAACACCGGUGGCGAAGGCGGGUCUCUGGGAAAUAACUGACGCUGAGGAGCGAAAGCGUGGGUAGCGAACAGG
rnacentral:rRNA from 1 species